rnacentral:rRNA from 1 species
UACGGGGGGAGCAAGCGUUGUUCGGAUUUACUGGGCGUAAAGGGCGCGUAGGCGGUCGUGACAAGUCACUUGUGAAAUCUCCGGGCUUAACUCGGAACGGUCAAGUGAUACUGUCGGACUAGAGUACAGAAGGGGCAACUGGAAUUCUCGGUGUAGCGGUGAAAUGCGUAGAUAUCGAGAGGAACACGUGCGGCGAAGGCGGGUUGCUGGGCUGAGACUGACGCUGAGGCGCGAAAGCCAGGGGAGCGAACGGG